GUGUACCUUAAUUUGUUUUCCUGGGUCCCAACAUCAACCUAAUACAGGGACGUUGUCUCUCCACUGCUGUGACACUGAUCUCUGCAAUGCAGCAGAUGGAGUGUAUAAGGGAAGCUUCCUCCUGCUCUUCUCUCCUCUGCUCUUCUACUUCCUGUUUCAGUGAGUCCAGAUUCAAGACUUCAGAUUCUACAG